rnacentral:misc_RNA from 1 species
AAAGUCGUAACAAGGUCUCCGUUGGUGAACCAGCGGAGGGAUCAUUACCGAAGUUACCCUUCAAAAACCCUUUGUGAACGUUACCUCUUGCCGCGUUGCCUCGGCGGGAGGCGGUCGGGAGGGGGGGUCCGCCGCGUCCAGCGGAGGUCCCCCCAGCCCGCCCGUCCCCGCCGGCAGCGCCACAAACUCUAUUUGCACAGCGGACUGUAUGUUCUGAUUUACAAAAAAAAACAAGUUAAAACUUUCAACAACGGAUCUCUUGGUUCUG